rnacentral:rRNA from 1 species
GACGAACGCUGGCGGCGUGCUUAACACAUGCAAGUCGAACGGAAAGGCCCUGCUUUUGUGGGGUGCUCGAGUGGCGAACGGGUGAGUAACACGUGAGUAACCUGCACUUGACUUUGGGAUAACUUCAGGAAACUGGGGCUCAUACCGGAUAGGAGCUCCUGCUGCAUGGUGGGGGUUGGUAAGUUUCGGCGGUUGGGGAUGGACUCGCGGCUUAUCAGCUUGUUGGUGUGGUAGUGGCUUACCAAGUCUUUGACGGGUAGCCGGCCUGGGAGGGUGACCGGCCACCUUACGCCUGAGGUACGGACCAGACUCGAACGGGAGGCAGCGGUGGAGAGUAUUGCACAGUGGGCGGAAGCCAGAUGUGACAACGCCGCGUGCGGGAUGACGGGCUUCGGGUUGUAAACCGCUUUCGCCUGUGACGAAGCGUGAGUGACGGUACUGGGUAAAGAAGCACCGGCUAACUACGUG